CCAGAGAACUUAGCAGAGAUGCUUUGGUGCCUUCGGGAACUCUGAGACAGGUGCUGCAUGGCUGUCGUCAGCUCGUGUUGUGAAAUGUUGGGUUAAGUCCCGCAACGAGCGCAACCCCUAUCCUUUGUUGCCAGCGAUUCGGUCGGGAACUCAAAGGAGACUGCCGGUGAUAAACCGGAGGAAGGUGGGAUGACGUCAAGUCAUCAUGGCCCUUACGAGUAGGGCUACACACGUGCUACAAUGGCGCAUACAAAGAGAAGCGACCUCGCGAGAGCAAGCGGACCUCAUAAAGUGCGUCGUAGUCCGGAUUGGAGUCUGCAACUCGACUCCAUGAAGUCGGAAUCGCUAGUAAUCGUAGAUCAGAAUGCUACGGUGAAUACGUUCCCGGGCCUUGUACACACCGCCCGUCACACCAUGGGAGUGGGUUGCAAAAGAAGUAGAUAGCUUAACCUUCGGGAGGGCGUUUACCACUUUGUGAUUCAUGACUGGGGUGAAGUCGUAACAAGGUAGGCGUAGCGAG
rnacentral:rRNA from 1 species